UACGAGAGCUACGAGCGUUAUCCGGAAUUAUUGGGCGUAAAGGGUGCGUAGGUGGCAUUAUUAGUCCUCUGUCAAAGCCCGGGGCUUAACCUCGGAUUCGCAGGGGAAACGGUAAAGCUAGAAAGUGCGAGAGGUGUACGGAACUCAUGGUGUAGGGGUGAAAUCCGUUGAUAUCAUGGGGAACACCAAAGGCGAAAGCAGUACACUGGCGCAUAUUUGACACUGAAGCACGAAAGCAUGGGUAGCGAAUGGG
rnacentral:rRNA from 1 species